AUGCAGCUGCAGAGCUGGUUCAGUCCCAUGAAAAAAAAAACAGUUUCCUCCGCAACUGNNUUGUGUGACGCUGUGCUCCUGUCCGCCUGUUCCUGUGUCACCCUGUCCCCAUGUCACCUCGUUCUUGAGGUGUCACUGCGUCCUCGUGUCACCCCGUCCCCAUGUCAGUCUCUUCCUUGUCACCCCAUCCCUGUGUCACUGCGUCCUCGUGUCACCCCGUCCCCAUGUCAGUCUCUUCCUGUGUCACCCCAUCCCUGUGUCACGGUGUCCUUGUGUCACCCUGUCCCCUUCUCACCCCAUCUUCGCCUCACCCUGUCCUUACGACCCUCCCCAUUUGUGUCACCCCGUCCCUGUGUCACCUCAUCCUUUUGUCACCUCGUUUCUGUGUCACCUCGUCCCCGUAUCACCUAUUUGUGUCACCCUGUCCCCACGUCACCCCGUCCCCAUGUCCCCUUCUGUCUGCAUCACCCCGUCCCCAUGUCCCCUCUUGUCUUCAUCACCCCAUCCCCAUGUCCCCUACCUCUGUGUGUCACCCCGUCCCCGUGUCACCCCAUCCCCAUGUCCCCUCUUGUCUUCGUCACCCCAUCCCCAUGUCACCCGGUCCCCAUGUCCCCUGCCUCUGUGUCACCCCAUCCCCUUGUCACCACAUCCCUGUGUCACCCUGUCCCCAUGUCCCCUGCCUGUGUGUCACCCUGUCCCCGUGUCACCCCGUCCCCAUGUCCCCUCUUGUCUUCGUCACCCCAUCCCCGCAUCACCCCGUCCCCAUGUCCCCUGCCUCUGUGUGUCACCCUGUCCCCAUGUCACCCCAUCUCCAUGUCCCCUCCUGCCUGUGUCACCCCGUCCCCAUGUCACCGCAUCUCCAUGUCACCCUGUCCCCGUGUCCCUUGUCUGUCACCCCAUCCCCACGUCACCCUGUCCCCAUGUCCCCUAUCACCCCAUCCCCGUGUCACGCCGUCCCUGUGUCCCCAUCCCCGUGUCACCCUGUCCCUGUGUCCCCAUCCCCAUGUCACCCUGUCAUCAUGUCCCCUCCUGCCUGUGUCACCCCAACCCCAUGUCACCCUGUUCCCGUGUCCCCUGCCUUUGUGUGUCACCCCAUCCCCAUGUCACCGUGUCCCCAUGUUGCCUCCUGUCUGCGUCACCGCAUCCCCAUGUCACCCUGUCCCUGUGUCACCCCAUCCUCAUGUCACCCCGUCCCUGUGUCCCCUACCUAUUUGUGUCACCCUGUCCCCGUGUCACCCUGUCGCAUGUCCCCUGCCUUUGUCACCCCAUCCCCACGUCACCUCAUCCCCGUGUGCCCUGCCUUUGUCACCCCGUCCCCACGUCCCCUCCUGUCUGUGUCACCCCGUGCCCCCUGCCCGUGUGUGCGGCCUCCUGUUGCUGUCACCCGGUGACGCCGUCCCCGUCCCCAGAUCCAGGCUCGCGGUGACGAGGCGCGGUACUGCUCGCUGCUGCGCCAGCUGCUGGACGACCACAAGGACGUGGUGA
rnacentral:lncRNA from 1 species